UUUUUUGAGAGUUUGAUCCUGGCUCAGGAUGAACGCUGGCGGUGUGCUUAAGGUAUGCAAAUCGAGCGGCCCACUCUUUUUGGUUAUUAUCUGAUACCAUGACUGCAUGUAUUACGUUUAUGUUUUAAAAAGCCAAAAAUAUAAGCAGUUGAAAAUAUAUAUCGGAAUUACAGCCGAUUUAAAAAGUCGAGUUGCCCAACACAACAACAAAGAAACCAUAUCAACUCGAUUUGGAAUUCCUUGGAAGUUAGUCUAUUAUGAAGCAUUCCUACACAAAAAUGAUGCUAUUAGAAGAGAAAAAAGGCUAAAAGUUGGAACCAGUGCAAUUGGCUUUUUAAAACGAAGAAUUAAACAGUCAUUGGAUAGUAAUUGAAAAGAGUGGGCAGCGGUGAACGGGUGAGUAAUGCGUAGGAAUCUACCUCUUGGUGGGGAAUAGCUCGCCGAAAGGCGGGGUAAUACCGCGUAAGUAACGCCACAUGGCAACAUGUGGCGUUAGAUAGGCCGUAACUGGCCGCCGAGAGAUGAGCCUGCGUGCUAUCAGCUUGUUGGUAGGGUAAUGGCCUACCAAGGCGAUGACGGCUAGGGGGCGUGAGAGCGCGAUCCCCCACAAGGUCACUGAGACACGGGGCCUACACCUACGGGUGGCAGCAAUCGGGAAUCUUGCGCAAUGGGCGAAAGCCUGACGCAGCGACACCGCGUGUGGGAAGACGCCUUUCGGGGUGUAAACCACUGUGGCAGGGGACGAUAAUGACGGUACCCUGCUAGAAAGCACUUGCUAACUACGUGCCAGAAGCCUCGGUGAAACGUAGGGUGCAAGCGUUAUCCGGAUUUACUGGGCGUAAAGGGUUUCGUAGGCGGAGAAACUAGUGGCGGGUGAAAGCCCACGGCUCAACCGUGGAAUUGCUCGUCAUACGGUUUUUCUAGAGUCUGUUAGGGGAGGCUAGAAUUCUCGGUGGAGGGGUGAAAUCCGUUGAUAUCGAGAGGAAUGCCAAGGGCGAAAGCAGGCCUCUGGGGCAAGACUGACGCUAAGGAACGAAAGCUAGGGUAGCAAACCGGAUUAGAGACCCGGGUAGUCCUAGCCGUAAACGAUGGAUACUAGAUGUCCCUUCCGCUGAAAGCUGAAGAGAAAUGUCUAAUUGACCUAAUUGCUCUAAUUAACGUAAUUAAAUUCCCAAUUUUCAAAUAACCUAAUGAAGCUUGAGAUUGGUGUUUGAUUAGAAAUUAGAAUAAUUAGAAAUUGGUCAUUUCCAAAAGCUUCUGCUUUUGGUGGAGGGGGUGUCGUAAGCUAACGCGUUAAGUAUCCCGCCUGGGUAGUACGGCCGCAAGGCUAAAACUCAAAGGAAUUGACGGGGAGGCGCACAACCGGUGGAGCAUGUGGUUUAAUUCGAUACAAAGCGAUGGACCUUACCUGGGCUUGACAUGUACCUGCACUCCCGUAGAAAUACGGGAUUCUUCGAGAGUGGUACACAGCUGCUGCAUGGCUGUCGUCAGCUCGUGUCGUGAGAUGUCGGCUUAAGUGCCGUAACGAGCGCAACCCCUGUCCCGUGUUGAAUAUUCACGGGAGACUGCCUUACAGCAAGUAGGGAGGAAGGAGGGGAUGACGUCAAGUCAUCAUGGCGCUUACGUCCAGGGCCACACACAUCCUACAAUGGGAAGGACAACGGGUUGCGACCCGGCAACGGUGAGCUAAUCCUUCAAACCUUCCCUCAGUUCGGAUUGGGGGCUGCAACUCGCCCCCAUGAAGUCGGAAUCGGUAGUAAUCGCGGAUCAGCAGACCGCGGUGAAUACGUUCUCGCCUCUUGUACACACUGCCCGUCAAGCCAGCAAAGUUGGCAGCGCCCGAAGUACCCCUCACCUUUACCCGGAACAGAACACGGCUGAAUAAGCAGACGUUAAGUAUCAGAGUAAAGGUGAGGGGGUCUAAGGCGAGGUCAGCGAUGAGGACUAAGUCGUAACAAGGUAUCCGUACUGGAAGGUGCGGAUGGAUCACCUCCUUU
rfam:Microgenomates group bacterium RIFCSPHIGHO2_01_FTLL_45_11 rifcsphigho2_01_scaffold_1075, whole genome shotgun sequence.